rnacentral:rRNA from 1 species
UACGUAGGGUGCGAGCGUUAAUCGGAAUUACUGGGCGUAAAGCGUGCGCAGGCGGUUUUGUAAGCCAGAUGUGAAAUCCCCGGGCUCAACCUGGGAAUGGCAUUUGGGACUGCAAGGCUGGAGUGCGGCACAGGAGACUGGAAUUCCUGGUGUAGCAGUGAAAUGCGUAGAUAUCAGGAGGAAUACCGAUGGCGAAGGCAGGUCUCUGGGCUGACACUGACGCUCAUGCACGAAAGCGUGGGGAGCAAACAGG